GAAAUGCGAUAAGUAGUGUGAAUUGCAGAAUUCAGUGAAUCAUCGAAUCUUUGAACGCACAUUGCGCCCCUCGGCAUUCCGUGGGGCAUGCCUGUUCGAGCGUCAUCUACACCCUCAAGCUCUGCUUGGUGUUGGGCGUCUGUCCCGCCUCCGCACGCGGACUCGCCCCAAAUGCAUUGGCAGCGGUUCCUUGCCCCCCUCUUUGCGCAGCACAUUGCCAUUCGAGGCGGCGGCGGCCCGCGUCCAACAAGCUCAACCCCCCCGUCUUUGACCUCGGAUCAGGUAGGGAUACCCGCUGAACUUAAGC
rnacentral:misc_RNA from 1 species